AGAGUUUGAUCCUGGCUCAGGACGAACGCUGGCGGCGUGCUUAACACAUGCAAGUCGAGCGGUAAGGCCUUUCGGGGUACACGAGCGGCGAACGGGUGAGUAACACGUGGGUAAUCUGCCCUGCACUCUGGGAUAAGCCUGGGAAACUGGGUCUAAUACCGGAUACGACUCUCGUGGGCAUCUGCGAGGGUGGAAAGUUC
rnacentral:rRNA from 1 species